rnacentral:rRNA from 1 species
CAGAUCUGGAAACACAGGAAUGCAGCCAUCUUUGAUGGUGCCCGUCCUUCCACUGACGAGCUUGUGCAGCGGAUCAAAGACGAGGCUCGCCGUUGGGCUAAGGCCGGCGACAAAGGUCUAGAUAGGAUCAUCCAUGUAACUUGA